rnacentral:tRNA from 2 species
AUCUUUCUAGUAUAUUAGUUGGUACAAGUGACUUCCAAUCAUUUAGUCUUGGUUAAAAUCCAAGGAAAGAUA